rnacentral:rRNA from 1 species
AGAGUUUGAUCCUGGCUCAGGACGAACGCUGGCGGUGUGCUUCACACAUGCAAGUCGAACGAGGUAGCAAUACCUAGUGGCGGACGGGUGAGUAACACGUGGGAAUCUGCCUUUAGAUGGGGGAUAACGAGCCGAAAGGUUCGCUAAUACCGCAUAUGCCGCAAGGUGAAAGGAGUAAUCCGUCUAAAGAUGAGCCCGCGUCCGAUUAGCUAGUUGGUGGGGUAAAGGCCUACCAAGGCGACGAUCGGUAGCUGGUCUGAGAGGAUGAUCAGCCACAAUGGGACUGAGACACGGCCCAUACUCCUACGGGAGGCAGCAGUGGGGAAUUUUACGCAAUGGGGGAAACCCUGACGUAGCGACACCGCGUGAGCGAAGAAGCCCCUUGGGGUGUAAAGCUCUGUCAGCUGGAACGAAACAAAUGACGGUACCAGCAGAGGAAGCAUCGGCUAACUACGUGCCAGCAGCCGCGGUAAGACGUAGGAUGCGAGCGUUGUCCGGAUUUAUUGGGCGUAAAGAGUUCGUAGGUGGUUUGUUAAGUUUGAUGUUAAAGAUCGGGGCUCAACCUCGGGACAGCAUUGAAUACUGGCAGACUUGAGUAUGGUAGAGGCUAGUGGAAUUCCCAGUGUAGCGGUGAAAUGCGUAGA